AAUCUCAAGUCUUCCUUCUGCGGUUAGCAGUGUGGAAAUCAAAGACAAAGACCUAGCGGGCUUCCUGAACGUGCUGAUGAACUGUCAGUGGCAGAGUCUGUGGUGUCGGGUGGAGGCCGGGGUUCUGAAGAUGUAUCGGGACGAGGCGUCAGAAGAGACCCCUCAAUACACGGUUCAGCUCAGAGGGAGUGAGGUGCGACCCGGCCCGGAUACAGCACAUGCUUACCGCAUUACCAUCACACAGCACGGGGACCAGAUGGCUGUACUAGAGGCGAGUUGUGCAGAUGAUAAAGAGCAGUGGGUUCAGCUCCUGCAGGAUGGGAGUUCUCCAUAUCAACACACCAGCCACGAGUCACUGAGUGGUCUGAAAAGCCGCAGGUGUCCCACCUCAAACAUGUACAUGGAUGACCCCUUUCAGCAGCUGUGUGGACCAUCAGUCCACUCGCAGCCCAUCUAUUCAAACUCCUCUAUAAUGGAGCACAUGUCUGAGAAACCCUACACUGGUGGAAACGGAGAAUUGGUGUCAUCCAAGGAUUCUGCCAGCUACAGCAGUAAUGAAAUCUUCAGCAACCACAGUACAAAACUGUUUGAGAUUGAGAGGGGUGUGCAGAAGCUGGACCUGACAGGAAAGAGACGCGUGCAGUUACGAGUGGGGUCAGAGGUCAACCUCGUGAGCGUGGGGACGAAGCCAGCCAAACGGUAUUCCUUCAGACGCUCCCUCGCUUUCUGCACUGAGCGAGCACAGGGGGGCUUUCUGACCCCACUCUUGAGAAGAACUGCCUCGGCAAAAAGCACCCUAAAGAAAGCUCCAUCUGCCCUGUUUAUGGAGCAUGGCAGGGUCUUCCAGAGGAGGAAGGAGUGGGAAACCAAAGCUUCAGGUUGACAUCAAGAGAAGACUCUCCCACAUUCCCCUCAUAUUGUCAAUAUAAUAUUGCACUGAAAAGAAUAUUCUUUCCAAGCAUGUGGAUCAUGCAGUGAUUUGGAUUUGUAAAGUUUUUUGUUCUUUUUUUGGGGGGUUCUUGGUACGUUUAAGAAAAUAACCGAUCACACAAACUCUUUAUCAGCAUAUUCUGUCCGUAGGCAAGCAUUCAUCUUCACACACAGGGUUGCAAGAUUGUUUGGGCGCAACUGUAAAACAUUUUACAUUUGUAAAUGUCUAUUGAGAUGAUGCUGAUGUACAUUUCUUUAGAAAUUAAACUCUAUGUCUAGAGAGUGGCACAUUUAAAUGAAGUGGAGUUUUAUGUUUAUCAUCAUAGCACAGUAUUUAUCCUUAUGUAAAUCACUUUGCACUGUUUUGAACCCAUCCUAAACCGUGUUUGCGGUUUUCAGGAAGGCAUUGUCAUGGUCAAAAUCAGGAAUCGUCAGUGUGAAGAUCAGUAACUGAUCAUUGAUUGUUGAAAAGUAAUUACCUCUUUCUUUUUUUUAUUUUCACAAGAUUCACAAAUCUGUGGUAAUUUAUCAAUUUAUACUUUUUUUAUCCCAGUGCACAUGCAGUAUAUUAAGUGUUGAGCUUUUCUAAUGAUGUGCCUUAACCAUAUUUUUGUAUCCAUGCUUUUAUGAAGCAUUGAUUUGUCUUUACAGCUGAAGAGAUUUUGCUGGUAUUGAUCCCACUCACUUCAGGAAAGCUUUUUCUGUAUAGUUAGCUUGGUUAAGACAAGGAUGGCCUAAUAUUGCUGUACAAAAGAUAACUGUGGAGAACAAAAACACCACUGAUGAACAUAUUUGUACAAUAAAUAAAGUAAUGCUGGA
ensembl:lncRNA